UUUUUUUUUUUUUUUUUGAGAUGGAGUCUCACUCUGUCGUCCAGGCUGGAGUGCAGUGGCGCGAUCAUGUGUACAAAUCUUUAGAAGACUCUUGUUUUUUUCCCUAAGGCAAACCUAGUCUUUUUCUCCAAAUGUCUGGUCUUUUUUCCCCUAGAUUUCUUAGGUUUUUCUGGCCUAAGUCUGCAGCUCCUAAUGCUCUGCUGCUCCCCUGUGGCCAUACUGAGACAGGGUGUGCUCUGGCCACGAUAUGGGCUGAUCUUAACUUCAUACAUGGGGGUGGAAGAACUUCAUGCAUUUUAAUAAAUCCUUCCUGUCCUUUUAAAAUUUAGAUUUUUAAUUUUUUGAGACAGGGUCUCACUUUGUCACCUGUGCUGCUAUGCAGUGGUGCGAUCACGGCUCACUGCAGCCUCAACCUGGGCUCAAGCAAUUCUCCUGCCUCAGUCUCCCAAGUAACUAGGACCACAGGUACAUGCCACCAUGCCCAGCUAAUUUUUAAUCUUUCUUCUCUUUACACUGCAAAUUCUUCUUAAUCUUUCAAGAUCCAACCCUGAGGUUAUCUGCCAGUUGAGACUUCUUUGCUCCCCCAGGUAGAGAGAGUUCUCGAAUCUUCUGUUCUCCAAUAGCAUUUCUUUCGCAUCUUUGAAGGAGCUCUCUUAUUAUGUUAUCCUGACAUUUAUUUUUGUAUUUUUUUCCCUGCUAGAUGGUGGGCAGGGGCUGAGUCUUAUUUGUCUCUGCCUCUUUAAAGAGGUAUGAAGUAGUUGCAGGGCAAUAAUGGAGGUAAGAAGAUGAAGAUGAGGAAGGAGCAAGGAGGUAAGGAAAGAGUGAGAAUAAUAUUCAUUUUAUGGGGCACAGCUUUGUGCCAACACGUUGUUCCAAGCACUUUAUUUUAUUUUAUUGAUUGAUUGAUUGAUUGAGACGGAGUCUUGCUCUGUCACCCAGGCUGAAGUGCAGUGGCAUGAUCCCGGCUCACUGCAACCUCUGCCUCAUGAGUUCAAGUGAUUCUCCAGCCUCAGCCCCCCAAGUAGCUGGGAUUACAGGCAUAUGCCACCACACCUAGCUAACUUUAGUAUUUUUAGUAAAGAUGGAAUUUUGCCAUAUUGCUCAGGCUCAAACUCCUGAGGUCUCCCCAAAGUGCUGGGAUUACAGGUGUGAGCCACUGUGCCUGACUCAAGCACUUUAUACUCAUAUAAUUCUUUCAGCCACCUCAUGAGGUAGGCAUUAUUAUUAUCCCAAUUUUACAAUCAAGGCACAGCAAAAUUAGGCAAUGUACAUAGGUGGUAAGUGGCAGUAUAGGAGUUGAACUGACAUAGUUAGGCGCCUGAGCCCAGGCUUGAACCCACUGUGUAAUCCUGCUUCUCCAGUGUGAAGUGAUGAGAGGAAGAGGGUGAGGAGAAAACGUAAUGAGGAGAGAAUGGGGAUAAGGAGAGAGGAUGGAAGGAUAAGAGAGGAUGGGGUUAGACAAAAGAACAGAACUUAGAGAGAAUGGGAUGAAGGG
ensembl:lncRNA